GUCCUAGUGGCGAACGGGUGAGUAACACGUUGGUGACCUGCCCCGAAGAAGAGGAUAACUCCGGGAAACUGGAGCUAAUACCCUAUGUGCUCCAAGGAGUUAGAGGGCUUUGGAGUAAAGGAGCAAUCCGCUUUGGGAGGGGCCUGCGGCCCAUCAGCUAGUUGGUAGGGUAAAAGCCUACCAAGGCAAUGACGGGUAGGGGACCUGAGAGGGUGGCCCCCCACACUGGCACUGAAACACGGGCCAGACACCUACGGGUGGCAGCAGUGGGGAAUAUUGCCCAAUGGACGAAAGUCUGAGGCAGCAACACCGCGUGCGCGAUGAAGGCCUUCGGGUUGUAAAGCGCUUUUCUGGGGGAAGAGGAAGGACUGUACCCCAGGAAUAAGUCUCGGCUAACUACGUGCCAGCAGCCGCGGUAAAACGUAGGAGGCGAGCGUUAUCCGGAUUUACUGGGCGUAAAGCGCGUGUAGGCGGUUUGGUAAGUCGGACGUUAAAGCUCCUGGCUCAACUGGGAGAGGCCGUUCGAUACUGCCAGACUAGAGGGCAGCAGAUGGAGGUGGAAUUCCGGGUGUAGCGGUGAAAUGCGUAGAUAUCCGGAGGAACACCAGUGGCGAAGGCGGCCUCCUGGACUGUCCCUGACGCUAAGACGCGAAAGCUAGGGGAGCGAACGGGAUUAGAAACCCCGGUAGUCCUAGCCGUAAACGAUGCAGACUUGGUGUUGGUGGUGUAGAAGCCAUCAGUGCCGCAGCUAACGCGUUAAGUCUGCCGCCUGGGGACUACGACCGCAAGGUUAAAACUCAAAGGAAUUGACGGGGGCCCGCACAAGCAGCGGAGCGUGUGGUUUAAUUCGAGGCUACGCGAAGAACCUUACCUGGGCUUGACAUACACGUAGUAGGGAUCCGAAAGGUGACCGACCCUUCGGGGAGCGUGCACAGGUGCUGCAUGGCUGUCGUCAGCUCGUGUCGUGAGAUGUCCGGUUAAGUCCGGUAACGAGCGCAACCCUUGCCCUGUGUUAUACGUGUCACAGGGGACUGCCGGUAUAAAGCCGGAGGAAGGUGGGGAUGACGUCAAGUCAGCUUGGCCUUUAUGUCCAGGGCUACACACACGCUACAAUGGCCAGUACAAUGGGUUGCCAAGCCGUGAGGCGGAGCCAAUCCUCCAAAGCUGGUCUCAGUUCGGAUUGUAGGCUGCAACUCGCCUACAUGAAGCUGGAGUUGCUAGUAACCGCAGGACAGCUAUACUGCGGUGAAUACGUUCCCGGGCCUUGUACACACCGCCCGUCACAUCAUGGGAGCUGGCAACACCUGAAGUCGGUGACCCAACCGCAAGGAGGGAACCGCCGAAGGUGGGGCUGGUGAUUGGGACGAAGUCGUAACAAGGUA
rnacentral:rRNA from 1 species